rnacentral:lncRNA from 1 species
UGUUUUCAAAUAAGCUGUACAAAAACUAAAUAAUUGUAAAAUUUAAGCGAUUUCUGUAAUUAUAUUUUUUUUUAUUUCGAUAUUACUUCUAUUUCUCCUAUUAGUUCAACAGAAAAAAGGACAUUAACAAAAAUGUAUGCUUCUUCCGGAGGCAGAUUGUGAGCUUAAAUGAACGGUGACCCCAUUUUUUUUAUUUCAAUCUUCUUUUAAGUAUAUGAUCAAGUUUAUUUAUAAAAAGAUAUAGCGAAAUCCCAUAUUAGAAAAAAAAAUUGAUUUAUACCCAG